ensembl:lncRNA novel transcript
UUUUCACCACCCAUCAGUCUGUCACUUUGGUCUGUUUCUGCUUAAAGACACUGUAUUUAGUGUAUAGAGUUGAUUCAUUAACGUUGAACUCACGGCCAACAGCACCUACACAGGCCUGAGCGAAGCGUCUCCAUCGCAUGUCACAGCUCCUGCACUCAGGGUCACUCGAGAGGACCUCAGCUCUGUUCCUGAGGCUACUUUAAGCUGCAACAUCACCGACAAAGAGCAUGAAAAUGUGAAUGACAGGACUCUAAAAAGAACGCACGUUUACUCCGAGAGCGGAAACAAGAAGGCGGGUGCGGCCUCACUCCUUCCCGGCCAGGCACGCACGUGGGUGACGCGGCUUCCAGAAGCUCUGUGCACGCCUGUGAAUGACCAGGAAAGACCCCGGUACUGAUCUGGGGAUUACGAAUACGUUUUAGCAAGAGGUCAAAGCCCCCACACUCAGCGUCCGGAGCUCAGCACCUGCCUGCCCCAACCUGCCUGACCCUCCAUCCCUGCGCCGUGAACGGUG